GCGGCGUUGGUAUAAUGGUUAUUAUCUUCGCUUCCCAUCUUGUCUUGAGAAUGCGAAGGAUUCGAGUUCGAUUCUCGAACGUCGCA